GGGGUACGAGAAGGCAGCUACCUGGCGACAGGAUGCUAAUCCCAAAAACCUCUCUCAGUUCGGAUCGAAGUCUGCAACCCGACUUCGUGGAGCUGGAUUCGCUAGUAAUCGCGCAUCAGCCAUGGCGCGGUGAAUACGUUCCCGGGCCUUGUACACACCGCCCGUCAAGCCAUGAAAGCCGGGGGUACCUGAAGUACGUAACCGCAAGGAGCGUCCUAGGGUAAACUGGUAAUUGGGCUAAGUCGUAACAAGGUAUC
rnacentral:rRNA from 1 species